UCUUAUAAGUAUGUCUAAUAUCUAUGUACAAAAUGUGUUUAAAUCUAUUCUUAAAAAAAAAAAUCCAAUAUUUAUAUUUUGCAUCAGAGGCUUAAAAUUAGUUAUUUUAUUUAAAAAACAAUUAGAUCAGAAAAAUAAGACAUUUAUCCAUUUCCUUAUGGCCAUUUUUUUUAUGCUCACGAUUGGAAAGCUAAAAUACCAUUUAUUUUCACAAAAUUCUGCUCAUAGGCAAAAAAAAAAAAAAAAAAAAAAAAAAAAAAAAAAAAAAAAAAAAAAAAAAAAACGAGUGAGAGUGCUCUAACAAUCUUCUCCCUUUUCUUUCUUACUCAAUGCCUACCUUCGUUCCUUGGCUCUACAAUACAACCCUUCUCACUCUCCGGCCGCCAUAUCUCUUCGCCGGCAUCAAUUUCUCGACCCCUCAUCUGAACCAUCCAAAUUCUGCAAUCUUUAUACAACUCUUUGUAUCAAUGGAAAAGAGAAAGUUGAGUGUUCGGGAUGCGCUGCCGCCGCAGCCAUGAUCAAUAUUGUUGUUAAUUUGUUAUUAGUAUUAAUUGCUUUUUCAUGUUGAUGAUCAAUCAAUAUAAUGCCUUUAAUUUUUGGUUCUUGUUUUGUUGUUGAUUGAAGGUUUGUAUAGGUUCAUUUAGCAAUUUUGGGUUUCUUUUAAUCCAACUAAUUGUGAAUUUGGUGUAUAGUAUUCUGUAGAACUGUGAUUAAUUUUAUCUGUGACUUGGUGCUGGAAAAUUCUAAUAUCAUGGCCUGAAAUUGAGGAUGACUAAUCUUCAAAUAGUUAUGUAGUGGAAUUGAUACGUUACAUCCAAAUUGUUAUGCAGUGGAACUGUGGAAAUUAUAUGUUGCAUGAUUGCAAAUGCUGUGGUAAUUGGCUGUAUGUUGUGGCAAUACGUUGGCGGUGUAAUGAAGUUUAAGAGCAAGCAUUGGCUGUUAUUAUCAUACCUUAUGGUCUAUAACUCUAUAAGCCUCACAUGUGGACUUGUUAUGGGCUAGGCUUUUUCGAUAGUUGAUACCGGUUUUUGUAGCACAGGCCACAGCUAGUUCUAGUGUCCUGCUGACAAGGGGUAUUGCUGUGUGAAUUAUUGAUGUAAGGAGGUCCGGUACUGAAUAUUCCUGUUUAUGUGAUCCAUAUAUGUGGAUGUUGUUGUAGAAUAUUUGCAGUCAUUGUAUUAGGACAGUGUCAAAAUGCACAAGUCAAUGAGUGUGGUACAGUUCGUUCUUCAACCCUAGCCCCCUACAAAAAAAGUUCAUCUAUUUUUUCAUAUUAUGUUCAUUCUUCUUCAACCCUAGCCCCCUUCAAAAGAGUUCAUCUAUUUUUUCAUAUGAUGAGUGCUAGUCUGAUAGCCUCAUUUGGCUGUUAAUUAUUUGAGAGUUUGAGACUAUCAGCUAUACUUGGUCCUUUCUGACUCACAUCCCUUUUGGUGUUCUGAAAAUGGUUCAGAUUUUUAACUGUUACCUGUGUCUUUCUUUGGGUCUAAACCUUGUUGACUUCAUCAGUUUAUGAGUGAUUUUCAAUGUCUCAGAACUGUUGUUGCCCUGGAGACUGAAGCUAGAAUAUGUAGUUUGUAAUGAGCAGAAAAACAUCUCGGAGCUCAUCAGGACAGUUGUUGUUUCAGCUCCCUUUAUGGCUUUUAAUCUUAGUGCUUAAGGGCUUCCUUCCAUCCAUUCUCAAAUGUAGUUUUCCAUGGGGUUUAUGAUAUACUUGAAACUCCUAUCUGAAUUCACCUUAAGGAAGGGAAACGAUGUUCCAGGGGCAGGAUAUAACAGCCUUGAGUCUACCGGAAUUGAGCUGUGUAAGAAACUAAGAACCUUACUGUAUGGGGCUAUACCUGGUGCUUGUGCUGAAACUGUUACCUAUCCAUUUGAGGUGGUCAGGGGACAGCUUCAAAUGCAAGUUUCAUGGAGCAAGAUUGAUUACUUUGGCAACUUAUAUUAAGAUAGUCAAGCAAGGAGAGAUUUUGGCUCUCUAUGCUGGACAUCUUGCCAGUAUAUUCAGGCACACCCAUCAGUAGCAAUAAGUUACUUUGUGUAUGAGUUAAAUGGAGAUAGCUCUCAAAGCCGAAUGAAAGGAAGCCGCAGCUGCAUUGUAGCCAGUCGGUGCUGGAGCCAUGGACGAGCAUGUCAUGUUUGAGAUUGGUAAAUAUACUGAAAUUUGACAGCUUCUAAGAAAUUCUCCACAAAUAUGGUUAGCUGGCAUUCAGUCACCUACUGGGGGAAUAUUUAUGUUUAUCCUCUUAACCCAUACUAUAUUGAAUCUGGUGGUCCUCUCAUGUCAAUUCAUGUGCAUUGUCUGUAAGCAGUAGCGGUAUGGCCAUAAAUGCCCUAGCUUACUGCAAUUGGUGGAAAUUGGCAAAUCUGGUGAAGUGCUGGUUGUAGAAAGAUACCUGAAUUGCCUGUAGAUCAAAGAUUUUGGGUUCAUAACCUUAGUUUGGAUGUGAACAAAGGGAAUUCUACUUCAUUCUUGACCUUAUGCGGAUCAAAAAACAUGUUGCUGUUGGCAUAUUGGUCACAUUACCAUAUUUACUAGCCCUGCAGAAUAGCUUUUAUCUUUUGAAAACUCUGAAUUUAUGACAGCAAAUAUAUCAAAUUGAGCCUUGCCUUUCCA